AGAUCGUGAUAAAUAGCAAUGAAUUCCUUGUUUACAUAAAAGGUUGUUUACUUUUUGAAAAUCCGUGCUGGAAAACAGCUGGGGCGUCAUGCAUACAUACAUUUUACAUUUUAUUUACAUAUUAAAUACACAUGCAUGUCAUAUUUACUGUAGAAUUUAUUAUUCUUAUAAUUAUCCUGCUUUUUUUGUCAUUUAUUAGGAAACACUACUAUAUUCAUUGAUCUUUUUAAACUUUCUGAAAAAUAUAUUUAGUUCCGAGUCUAUAAUACCCAUCUACAUGCCCCGAAAACCCUGAGAGGUCCCAUGAUUACCGAUUGUAAACAGUUCCGAGGGGUGGGAGCUCGUUUAUGGCCAUAAAAUAAAAUUCUUUUGUCAGCCCGCCGCCGAUGACUGAGCCGCAUAUUCAUCAAUCAUCGCAGCAUCCCGGGGAGUGUGUGUUAAGGGGUUGCGACUUUGGUCGUCGGUCGUCGGUCGCCGUUUGCCGGCCAGCAGCCACCAGGCUUUAUGAUGGCAAAACAAAAAACAGCCCAAACACGGCUUUUAUUGCACGUCAUACAUUUAGCGAUGAUGAAACUCUGGUCUCCCAGAAGACCAGGCCGCCGGCCCGGACCAGCUGUUGAUUAGAACUUGCUGCCCAGCCGGCUCUGCGCUUGGCGUUUGGCGGCAGAGGGCUAAUUGGCUGGGCUAACAAGGCCGGCUAACAGAGUCGGCCAACAGAAUCGGAAUCGGAAUCAGAAUCAAAAGAAUGGAAACGCUGCCGGACGCUACAGUUGGGAGCGGAAUGGAAGGCCCGGGCGCAUGACAGGUCUGAGCAAAUAUACCUCAAAUAGGGUUCGGUCGAGUUAGAAUUAUGUAACCUCCUGGUAGGGCGCCCUCCUGGUACUCACCUAACAUAAUCACGCUUGCAGUAGGUCUUCCCGUCGCGGACGAAACACGUACAGCUCUCGUCCAGGAACUGCCUGCACUCCUGGCACUUCAGGCACGCGGCAUGCCACUCGAGAUCGGGGGCCACGCGCAGGAUGUACUGGUCGUGGAUCUGGCCACCGCAGCCCACGCAGUGCGAGAGUCGUUGUUUUUCUGGAAGAGCAGAGGGUAUUGUGUUAAAAACACUGUUAAAUUAAACUGUAUAAUUAAA